CCAAUAGCGUAUAUUAAAGUUGUUGCAGUUAAAGAGCUCGUAGUUGAAUUUCGGGGUUAGUAGGCUGGUCAUGCCACCGGUAUGUACUGGUCUUACUGAUUCCUCCUUCCUGAUGAACUGUAAUGCCAUUAAUUUGGUGUUGCAGGGAAUCUGGACUGUUACUUUGAAAAAAUUAGAGUGUUUAAAGCAGGCUAACGCUUGAAUACAUUAGCAUGGAAUAAUGAAAUAGGACGUUCGAUCCUAUUUUGUUGGUUUCUAGGAUUGACGUAAUGAUUAAUAGGGAUAGUUGGGGGCAUUAGU
rnacentral:rRNA from 1 species